UGGCAGUAUGGAAUCACAAAUCAGAUAUCACUUCAUUUUGUAUAUGAGAAAAGCUCAAAACUAGUCAUCAAAGGCUGCAUUGUGUUGGUAUUAAGCAGAAUUCCCAGAAAUGGGGUUACAGACAAAGAGUUUAAAUAAAGAAAAAAAAGGAAAAAAGUUUGUACAAAGUUUACAAAAGCAGGCAGCCGGUGAUCAUGCCAGCACUCAAAUCUCUGCUCCGAAUUGUAUAGAAUAUAGGAGUAAAUUUAUAUUUUUCGCCAUCACUUGGAAAAAACAUACUUAGUGCUGUGUCACAUGGAGGAGGAAGAAGAAGAAGACGAAGAAGGCCGAAGCAGCUAGUCGUGCCAGCACAGGAGAAGAACGAGGCAACGCCAGACCAAGUAAAGGCGCGAUUUUCGCUCUCUGACGACCCUGGAGCACCAACUGCUCCACGAUUGAUGCCUUGGCACUCCUCUCGAUUCUUGGAAGUGGAAGUGGCUCCCCAUACUCUUUUCUGUUUUUGAGGAAUGAACACAGUGGCUGGCUGCUUGGCUGUUGGCUGAGUGAGGCCAGUAUGUCUCUCUUAUAGGCAGUGGGAGAGAGGGAGAGGGGUGUGUAGUGGCAGGCAAUACAUGUAUUAGUAUGGUGGGGUCUCAAAUGGGGAAUUUUGAAAAGGAUUCCGACCAAGCAGCCUGCAUGCCUGCCUGAUUCUCAACCAAGG
rnacentral:lncRNA from 1 species